rnacentral:lncRNA from 1 species
ACCCCCUCAAAAUGUCAUACUGAAAUUGAUGACAAGGAGAACAGAUUGACUUUAAAUACAUUUUUUACACAUUUCCCUUCUGUUUCUCGUGAAAUUACCGUAUAUUGAGCUUUCCCUUACACUAUAUACGUUUCUUUUACAGUCUGGAAAAAUCAGUAUUACGAAAUAUUCUAAAUAUAUCUAACCUAGUGACGUCAUUGUUGGAAUGCCACACUACACAGGGAUAUCCUUUAUUCAUUAUAAAAAUCAUUCACAGUAUUUGUAUACUAAUUUAAAAUCCGUAUUUGUUAAAUGUAAACCUAAUGAUGUUU